rnacentral:tRNA from 1 species
CCCGGAACGGUUCCCACACGGCCUUUUCCCAUCGCAACCGGCUGAUCCGGCGGCAAAGAGCCUCGCGCGGGUUCGAAUCCCGCCCUGUCCGCCA